CAUAAAGCAGGGUAUUUUGUUGAUGAAGUGGACAUUGUACUUGUAAGUGACAAACAUAUAUGUCAUAUAUGGGAUUAUAUUGUAUAUAUAAAAUUAUCGUCCUAACACCAGCUAACACAUGUUGACCCUGCCGGGCCUAGACCUGCGUUUUCAUAACUGCCUUGUGAGAGCAAUGUCGCGCAAUAUAGCUAUAGUAUGUUGAUAAACUAAAUGCGGGUAACGAAAAGCCGAACAGUUCAUGGGAUGUACUCGAAUUGCGCACGUAAUAUGGCUCCAAAAACGUUCUACCAUGGACGAACAUUGGUAGGUUUAUGCUGUUCGUGGCAACUUCAGUGUAUAACAUAACGCGCUUAAGUAUAAUGACAAUAUGAAACGCACUCACCGGUUUAAAAGUGGAUCAAAUGUGGAUAGAAAACAGCCUUUUUCCAGGUUCUGAACGUCGGGACUUGGAAGCUUCGAUUUAUCCGAGAAAAUGUACCACGGGCAUUUUCGUGUACGGAAAAUUUUCCUUCUAUGUUGUCUCGAAGACCGUUGAAACCAGAGUGAACUGAGAUAAAAUUUGGCUAGCUUUUGCUGAUAACUGAAGAAUGUCGGCUUAGCAAAAUGGGAUUAUAUUGACAAUUUGGCAUUGACACAUGGCAGGUGUUGCCCGGAGAGCAAGGCGGUUGUUUUCUUUGCUUAUCGUUUC